rnacentral:misc_RNA from 1 species
CAGGCCCUGAACACACACACACACAUAAAGGUACGCACAGACGCACACAUAGACAGCUUGCCGCACCCCUCGCACCCCCUCUUCUCCUCACUAUCCACUGUGGCUGCGUCUUCUGUGAUACCCCCUCACUCCCCUCUCCCUCUGUCUCCCGCUGCCCUUCUGGGCGCCCACCGUGCACACUCGAACACAGCGGCAGUCGUGGGGGUGUGGGGUGCACAUAGGUGACCCUCAAGAGCACAUAACAUAUUCUUUUCCUCCCUCCCGAACAGACGCACUCAUCCGCCUCUAACGUGCUCAGCGCCUUGUGUGGAAGUACGACGACGACGACAGGACGACUGAGGUAGCUUGGCGGAAAAUCGUUGCCAGCUCCUUUCCUCGCCGUCCCCUCUCCCCUCUCCCCCUUCCCCUCUCCCCCCUUCCCCGGGCGCAUCUCUUCUCUUUGCCACGCGCUCUUCAUCGUUCCUUCCGUGCUCGUGCUCUUUCCCUUUCCCUGGACUCAUCCCUUUCGUUUUCUUGCGUGGACGGAAUCCCCUCAUACGAUGCGAGACCGGCACAUAACACGGGUGGUGGCGGCGUUGCUGGUCCUGGUGUGGGUGGCGGCCUUCGUUGCGGAGGUGCCGGUGCACAUGGCGGGUGCUGCCGAUCCGCGUGACGAGGACGCGAAGGCCGUCGAUGCCGUGCUACGACUGCCGGAGGACGACUUCUACGCCGUGCUCGGCCUUGAUGAGGCACGGGAGGAUGCCACCGAGCGCGAUAUCAAGAAUGCCUUUCGGCGGCUUUCAAAGAAAUACCACCCCGAUGUCGCCACUGGCGAUCAGGACUCGUACCGCCUCGUGUACCAGCGAGUGCAGCGCGCAUACGAGAUCCUCGGUGACCGCCGCAAGCGCAAAAUCUACGACAUUCUCGGCAUCGAUGGUGUGACGAGGCUGGAGAAACCGCAGCAGCAGCAGCAGCAGAUGAACCCCUUCUUCGCCUUUUUCGGUGUUGGCCAGCAGGCCGACGCGGAACGCGGUAAGGACAUGGAGCUGCUGAUGGUGGUGCCGCUCGAGGACAUCUACCGCGGCGCUGCCCACACGUCCAGGUUUGCCAAGCGCAAGAUAUGCCGUGCGUGCAAGGGCACCGGCGCGCGCAGCGGCGAGGACGUGGUGAAGUGUCCACACUGCCAGGGCCGCGGCCGCCUGGCGCAGCGAGUGCAGAUUGCACCCGGCUUUGUGCAGCAGAUGGAGCAGGUCUGCCCGCACUGCCAGGGCAAGGGCACGCAUGUGGCGCACAUGUGCCCGGUGUGCCGUGGCAAGAUGGUGCUCCCUGGAGAGGCGGUGCUGAGCGUGGACAUCGAGGAGGGUUUACCGGAAGGGCACGUGCUGACGUACGAGUUAGAGGCGGACCAGGCACCUGGCCAGGUGCCCGGCGACGUGCUGCUGACGGUGGUCAGCGCGCCGCAUCCGGUGUUCCAUCGCAGUGGCAACGACCUCUACGCAAACGUGAGCAUCACGCUGAAGGAGGCGCUGCUAGGCUUCAAAAAAACCUUCACACACCUGGAUGGACACAAUGUGGAGCUGCACUGGGACGGUGUAAUGCAGAACACGCAGCAGGUACGCAUAGCAGGGGAAGGCAUGCCGCGGCAUCACGUGCCAUCUGAGCGGGGCGACCUCUACAUCACUUAUAACGUGCUGCUGCCCGCAGCGUUGACGGCGGAGCAGCGUGCGCUCUUCCAGGAGCACUUCGCCUAGCGGGUGUGUGCGUUUGUCUGGUGAGGAAGGCGCGAAGAGACCCCGUGUUCUUGCUGACGUGGAAGAGGGAUGCAGGAUGAUGUGUGGUGGUGAUGGUGGUUGGGAGCGGCUUUAAACAUCAGUGCGGCCAGCGGCAUGCAGCGCGUUCUACGGGGGUUCCUCUCUGUUUUCUGUCGUCGCGUUAUAUAUAUAUAUAUAUAUAUAUAGAUACAUCUGUAUAUUGGCUUUGCCACUACGGUUGUGCGGCUGCCGAGUCCCUUCUGUUCGCUCCCCCUCCCUUCCCCUCCCCUCCCCUCCUUCUCUGUUGCCGUCGCUGCUGUUGUUGCGUUGAUGGUGAUUGCAUCAUUAUCGUUGUCGGUGGCGUCGUUGUCGCGAACUUUAGUGUGCAUGACGCACACGCGCACGUGCGCAGGCGUGCACUCGUCGUGUUUUCUUUCAUUUUGUGGGCUUCCUUUGUUCCGUCUCGUCCCUGUGUUCUUUGUUGUUGCUCUCAUCCGGCUGUGUGGCCCGUGUGGGCGUGCGUGCGGCGCUCUCCUCGUGCUGCUAUGGCGGUACUCGAGAGCAGGCAUGCGAGAGGACGCGGCGGCGCCUCGCCUCGCCGCCGCCGCCGCACUGCCAUUCCGAUGCAUCUCUCUUAGCUUUCUUCACCUAUGUGCGUAUGUGUCUGUUUUUUAGCAGAGCAGUAGGGGUGGGGUGAUGCGCAGCCGGCGGCUGCCGCCGCACGUGGGGAUUGGAGACGACCGUCUGGUCUGCAGACGCCAACCAGCAUCCUGCCAUGAGUAAACCGGCGGCAAACAGCUCCCCGCGUCUCCUCGCCAGCCGCUCCGCCUACCACCGCUCUUCUUCCGCACACGUUCGUUCUCCAUCUCGUUCCCUUGUACGUGAUGUGCACGCUUACACACGCGGCUCCGCAACAGCGCUCGGCGGAUGCGGAUGCUCAGGCACGGGUUCGACAGAUGAAAGCGGGGGCACCGUUGCAACGACGAGCCGAGAAAACAACAUGGACCGUGUUGUGCGGAUGUACUCCAGUAAUGCAUACAUACCGCUUGAAUGUGGCGGCAGUGGCGAUACAUCGCUUGAGUAGCGAAGUACG